GUGCCAGCCGCCGCGGUAAUACAUAGGGUGCGAGCGUUGUCCGGAAUCACUGGGCGUAAAGGGCGCGUAGGCGGUCUCUUAAGCGUGUGGUGAAAGCCCGGGGCUCAACUCCGGGUCGUCCGUGCGAACUGGGAGACUGGAGCUUGUCAGAGGCAGGCGGAAUUCCGGGUGUAGCGGUGGAAUGCGUAGAGAUCCGGAAGAACACCGGUGGCGAAGGCGGCCUGCUGGGACAGUGCUGACGCUGAGGCGCGACAGCGUGGGGAGCAAACAGGAUUAGAUACCCCGGUAGUCC
rnacentral:rRNA from 1 species